AACUCCUCCUGCAGCACAUUUGCUAAAUUGGAACAAUACAGAGAAGACCAGCAUGGGCCCUGCACAAGGAUAAUAUGCAAAUUCGUGAACCAUUCCAUAUAUAU
rfam:Otolemur garnettii contig162212, whole genome shotgun sequence.